GAAUGACCGUGAUCGCCAUGUCGCGCAUCUUCUGAUACUCAACGUCCGUCAGCGUCUGCGCGGGUGCGACCGUAAUCGAGUCUCCUGUAUGCACACCCAUCGGAUCGAAAUUCUCGAUCGAGCAAAUGACCACCACGUUGUCAGCCAGGUCCCGCAUUACCUCAAGCUCAAACUCUUUCCAGCCGAGAAUUGAUUCCUCAAUCAGGACUUCGUGCAUCGGCGAAGCUGCGAGGCCACCGCGGACGAUAUCUUCAAAUUCUUCCGGGUUGUAAGCCGUUCCUCCACCACUGCCACCCAGAGUGAAAGAAGGGCGGAUAAUUG
rnacentral:misc_RNA from 1 species